UACAGAGGUCCCAAGCGUUGUUCGGAUUCAUUGGGCGUAAAGGGUGCGUAGGCGGCGCGGUAAGUCGGGUGUGAAAUCUCGGGGCUUAACUCCGAAACUGCAUUCGAUACUGCCGUGAUUGAGGACUGGAGAGGAGACUGGAAUUUACGGUGUAGCGGUGAAAUGCGCAGAUAUCAGGAGGAACACCAAUGGCGAAGGCAGCUCGCUGGGACGGUACUGACGCUGAGACGCGAAAGCGUGGGGAGCAAACAGG
rnacentral:rRNA from 1 species